AUUGAACGCUGGCGGCAGGCCUAACACAUGCAAGUCGAGCGGAUGAAGGGAGCUUGCUCCUGGAUUCAGCGGCGGACGGGUGAGUAAUGCCUAGGAAUCUGCCUGGUCGGGUGGGAUAACGUCCGGAAACGGGCGCUAAUACCGCAUACGUCCUGAGGGAGAAGGUGGGGGAUCUUCGGACCUCACGCUAUCAGAUGAGCCUAGGUCGGAUUAGCUAGUUGGUGGGUUAAAGGCCUACCAAGGCGACGAUCCGUAACUGGUCUGAGAGGAUGAUCAGUCACACUGGAACUGAGACACGGUCCAGACUACUACGGGAGGCAGCAGUGGGGAAUAUUGGACGAUGGGCGAAAGCCUGAUCCAGCCAUGCCGCGUGUGUGAAGAAGGUCUUCGGAUUGUAAAGCACUUUAAGUUGGGAGGAAGGGCAGUAAGUUAAUACCUUGCUGUUUUGACGUUAACAACAGAAUAAGCACCGGCUAACUUCGUG
rnacentral:rRNA from 1 species